rnacentral:rRNA from 1 species
AUUGAACGCUGGCGGCAUGCUUUACACAUGCCAGUCGAACGGUAACAGGCCGCAAGGUGCUGACGAGUGGCGAACGGGUGAGUAAUGCAUCGGAACGUGCCCAGUCGUGGGGGAUAACUACUCGAAAGAGUAGCUAAUACCGCAUACGAUCUAUGGAUGAAAGCGGGGGACCGUAAGGCCUCGCGCGAUUGGAGCGGCCGAUGUCAGAUUAGGUAGUUGGUGGGGUAAAGGCUCACCAAGCCAACGAUCUGUAGCUGGUCUGAGAGGACGACCAGCCACACUGGGACUGAGACACGGCCCAGACUCCUACGGGAGGCAGCAGUGGGAAAUUUUGGACAAUGGGCGCAAGCCUGAUCCAGCAAUGCCGCGUGCAGGAAGAAGGCCUUCGGGUUGUAAACUGCUUUUGUACGGAACGAAACGGCUCUGGUUAAUACCCGGGGCUAAUGACGGUACCGUAAGAAUAAGCACCGGCUAACUACGUG